rnacentral:rRNA from 1 species
AGCGGCAGACCUAACACAUGCAAGUCGAGCGGCAACAGGAAGAAGUUUAUCCUUUGCUGGCAAGCGGCGAACGGGUGAGUAAUGUCUGGGGAUCUGCCCAAUGGAGGGGGAUAACUAUUGGAAACGAUAGCUAAUACCGCAUAAUGUCGCAAGACCAAAGUAGGGGAUCCUAUUUUAUAGGACCUUAUGCCAUCGGAUGAACCCAGAUGGGAUUAGCUAGUAGGUGGGGUAAUGGCUCACCUAGGCAACGAUCCCUAGCUGGUCUGAGAGGAUGACCAGCCACACUGGAACUGAGACACGGUCCAGACUCUUACGGGAGGCAGCAGUGGGGAAUAUUGCACAAUGGGGGGAACCCUGAUGCAGUCAUGCCGCGUGUGUGAAGAAGGCCUUUGGGUUGUAAAGCACUUUCGGUAGCGAAGAAGUAUGAAACGCUAAUAACGUUUCGUAUUGACGUUAACUACAAUAAGAAGCACCGGCUAACUCCGUGCCAGCAGCCGCGGUAAUACGGAGGGUGCAAGCGUUAAUCGGAAUUACUGGGCGUAAAGAGUACGUAGGCGGUUUAUUAAGUCAGAUGUGAAAUCCCCGGGCUCAACCUGGGAACUGUGUUUGAAACUAAUAAACUAGAGUUUCGUAGAGGGGGGUAGAAUUCCAGGUGUAGCGGUGAAAUGCGUAGAGAUCUGGAGGAAUACCAGUGGCGAAGGCGGCCCCCUGGACGAAAACUGACGCUCAGGUACGAAAGCAUGGGGAGCAAACAGGAUUAGAUACCCUGGUAGUCCAUGCUGUAAACGAUGUCGAUUUGAAAGUUGUGACCUUUUUUUUGAGUCGUGGUUUUCGAAGCUAACGCGUUAAAUCGACCGCCUGGGGAGUACGACCGCAAGGUUAAAACUCAAAUGAAUUGACGGGGGCCCGCACAAGCGGUGGAGCAUGUGGUUUAAUUCGAUGCAACGCGAAGAACCUUACCUACUCUUGACAUCCAGAGAAUUUAGCAGAGAUGCUUUAGUGCCCUUGGGAACUCUGAGACAGGUGCUGCAUGGCUGUCGUCAGCUCGUGUUGUGAAAUGUUGGGUUAAGUCCCGCAACGAGCGCAACCCUUGCCCUUUGUUGCCAGCGAUAUGGUCGGGAACUCAAAGGAGACUGCCGGUGAUAAACCGGAGGAAGGUGGGGACGACGUCAAGUCAUCAUGGCCCUUACGAGUAGGGCUACACACGUGCUACAAUGGUACAUACAAAGAGAAGCGAUCUCGUGAGAGCUAGCAAAUCUCAUCAAAGUGUAUCGUAGUCCGGAUUGGAGUCUGCAACUCGGCUCCAUGAAGUCGGAAUCGCUAGUAAUCGUGUAUCAGAAUGUCACGGUGAAUACGUUCCCGGGCCUUGUACACACCGCCCGUCACACCAUGGGAGUGGGCUGCAAAAGAAGUGAGUAGCUUAACCGUUCUCGGAGAGCGCUUACCACUUUGUGAUCCAUGACUGGGGUG